rnacentral:rRNA from 1 species
CCUACGGGAGGCAGCAGUGGGGAAUAUUGCACAAUGGGGGAAACCCUGAUGCAGCGACGCCGCGUGAGUGAAGAAGUAUUUCGGUAUGUAAAGCUCUAUCAGCAGGGAAGAAAAUGACGGUACCUGACUAAGAAGCCCCGGCUAACUACGUGCCAGCAGCCGCGGUAAUACGUAGGGGGCAAGCGUUAUCCGGAUUUACUGGGUGUAAAGGGAGCGUAGACGGCGGUGCAAGUCCGGAGUGAAAGCCCGUGGCUUAACCAUGGGACUGCUCUGGAAACUGUGGGGCUGGAGUGCAGGAGGGGCAGGUGGAAUUCCUAGUGUAGCGGUGAAAUGCGUAGAUAUUAGGAGGAACACCAGCGGCGAAGGCGGCCUGCUGGACCGUAACUGACGUUGAGGCUCGAAAGCGUGGGGAGCAAACAGGAUUAGAUACCCCAGUAGUC